rnacentral:rRNA from 1 species
UACGUAGGUGGCAAGCGUUACUCGGAAUCACUAGGCGUAAAGCGCAGGUAGGAGGUUUGAUAAGUCUGUUGUGAAAGCUCCCGGCUUAACUGGGAGAGGUCAACGGAAACUAUUAGGCUAGAGUGCGGUAGAGGUAGCUGGAAUUCCCGGUGUAGCGGUGAAAUGCGUAGAUAUCGGGAGGAAUACCUAUGGCGAAAGCAGGCUACUGGACCGUCACUGACUCUGAUCUGCGAAAGCUAGGGGAGCAAACAGG